UCCUACGGGAGGCAGCAGUAGGGAAUAUUGGGCAAUGCCUGCAAGUCGUGACCCAGCCAGACCGCGUGCAGGAAGAAGGCUUUAGGGGUGUUAACCCGUUUUUGGAAGGGAACAAAACGGUAGUGCAGCCUAAUGGUAGCAGAGGAAUCAGCUAGCACCGGCUCCGUCCCAGCCACCAGCCGCGGUAAUAGGGAGGGCGCGUUAUCCGUCAUAAUUUAUUGGGUUUAAAGGGCAGGUGGCAGUUCAAUUAUGUCGUCAAAGACCGGGGCUUACUUUACGAAAGCCGGUCCAAAGAUAACAAUUGGAGUGUGGUCGGGGCAGAGGGAAUUCCCGGUGUAUCGGUGAAAGAAGUAGAGAUCUGGAAUACCACCCGUGGAGAGGGCGGUCAGUUGGCUAAUAAGUAACACUCAGGGACGCAAGCUAGGGGAGGGAACGAGCUUGGAUAGAUCCCUAGGUAGACCCCUAAGUGAUGGAUGAUAGGUGGAUUUGGAUCAACCCGGUCAGUGCCGUAGCUAACGCGUUAAGUAUCCGCCUGGGAGACGCCGCCCGUGU
rnacentral:rRNA from 1 species